GGGCCGCGAGGCGCGGGCGGGGCGAUGGCGCGCGGGAGGGGCGGGGCCACGCUGCGGGCCCGGGCCAUGGCCGCCGCCGAUGCUGAGCAGGCGGUUCCGGCGAAGGGGGAGACCAAGCAGGACUGCGGCCUGGGAGCCGAGCUGCCGAGUGAAGGGUCACCUAUGGCUGCUGAUGAAGGCUCGGCAGAGCAGCAGGGAGGGGAGGCCCAUGUGGCUGCAGACGGGGAAACCAACGGGUCCUGCGACAAGAGCGAUGCCAACGGCCACCCGGCCGCUGUGAAGCACACUCAGGAAAGCACGAGAGUCAGCCCGCAGGAAGGAGCCGGUCCGGUGGCCCGGAUAGCAGAAAAUGGGAUUUUGGACAGAGACACUGAGGUGGGGAAGCAGAACCACAUCCGAGCCGACGGCUUCACUCAGACUCCCGUCGUCGGGAGCAACGGCUACUUCCUCGGCAAGGCCCCCCUGUCUGAGCCACCGCUGCGGGUGGCUGGCGCCCUGGCCUCCUCCCUGCCCGGUCACGCCGCGAAGACCCUCCCUGGCGGGGCUGGCAAAGGGAGGACUCCUGGCGCUUUUCCCCAGCCGCCGGCCGCCAUGCCAGCCAAGCCUGGGGAAGGCAGCAAGGACACAGAGGACAAGAAGGCCCCGGCCCCGGGCGCUGACGUCAAGGUCCACAGGGCUCGGAAGACCAUGCCGAAGUCCAUCCCGGGCCUGCACACGGCCAGUAAGGACCCCAGGGAAGGCCGGGACGCCCGUGACCCUGAGGAGCCGAAAGAGGAGUUGAGCAGAAAUGCCUCGGAUUUUGGACGACAGCAGCUUUUACCCCCCUUCCCGCCCCUUCACCAGUCGCUACCUCAAAACCAGUGCUACGUGGCCACCACGAAGGCACAGACAGCUUGCUUGCCUUUUGUUUUAGCAGCUGCAGUAUCUCGGAAGAAAAAACGAAGAAUGGGAACCUAUAGCCUGGUUCCUAAGAAAAAGACCAAAGUGUUAAAACAGAGGACGGUGAUUGAGAUGUUUAAGAGCAUAACUCAUUCCACGGUGGGCUCCAAGGGCGAGAAGGACCUGGGUGACGGCUCCCUCCACGUGAACGGGGAGAGCCUAGACAUGGACUCUGAGGAGGACGACUCGGAGGAGCUGGAGGAGGAUGAGGACCAGGGCGCCCAGCCGGCCACCGCGUUCCCUGCCGAGGGCAGCAGGGCCUCCAAGGACAGUGCGCUGGAGCCUGACCGCAGCCAGAAGAUGGAGGGCGAAUCUGAAGAGGAGCAGGAGUCGGCCGGCACCGGGGAGGAGGAGGAGGACGGAGACGAGUCUGAUCUGAGUUCUGAAUCCAGCAUCAAGAAGAAGUUUCUCAAGAGGAAAGGGAAGCCUGACAGCCCCUGGAUCAAGCCAGCGAGGAAGAGGAGGCGGAGAAGUAAAAAGAAGCCCUGCUCCGUGCUAGGUUCCGAAGCGUAUGCAUCGUCUUCGGGAAGCGCAGAGCAGAUGGCACCCAGCGACGGCACGGGGUACAUGGAGGUUUCGCUGGACUCCCUGGAUCUCCGAGUCAAGGGCACGCUGGCCUCUGACGCAGAAGGGCUGGCCAACGGUCCCGACGUAGGCGAGACGGACGGCCUUCAGGAGGUGCCCCUCUGCAGCUGCCGGAUGGAGACCCCGAAAAGCCGAGAGAUCACCACCCUGGCCAACAACCAGUGCAUGGCCACGGAGAGCGUGGACCAUCAGCUGGGCAGGUGCACGAACAGCGUGGUCAAGCAUGAGCUGAUGCGCCCGUCCAGCAAGGCGCCGCUCCUGGUGCUGUGUGAAGACCACCGGGGCCGGAUGGUGAAGCACCAGUGCUGUCCCGGCUGCGGCUACUUCUGCACCGCCGGUAAUUUUAUGGAAUGUCAGCCCGAGAGCAGCAUCUCUCACCGUUUCCACAAAGCCUGCGCCUCUCGAGUCGAUAACGCCAGUUACUGUCCCCACUGUGGUGAGGAGACCUCCAAGGCCAGAGAGGUGACCAUCGCAAAAGCAGACACGACCUCCACCGUGACGCUGGCCCCUGGGCAGGAGAAGGGCUCCACAGUGGAGGGCAGGGCCGACACCACCACAGGCAGCACUGCUGGACCCCCGCUCUCAGAGGAUGACAAGCCGCAGAGCACAGCCCCCCAGGUGCCCGAGGCCUUCGACCCCAUGGGGCCGGCCGGGCUGGGGAAGCCAGCGCCCGGCCUCUCCCAGGGACCUGGGAAGGAAACCCUGGAGAGCGCGCUCAUCGCCCUGGACUCGGAGAAACCCAAGAAGCUCCGCUUCCACCCGAAGCAGCUGUACUUCUCGGCCCGGCAAGGGGAGCUGCAGAAGGUGCUGCUCAUGCUGGUUGACGGGAUCGACCCCAACUUCAAGAUGGAGCACCAGAGCAAGCGCUCGCCCCUGCAUGCUGCGGCGGAGGCCGGCCAUGUGGACAUCUGUCACAUGCUGAUCCAGGCGGGCGCCAACAUCGACACCUGCUCAGAGGACCAGAGGACCCCGCUGAUGGAGGCGGCAGAAAACAACCACUUAGACGCGGUGAAGUACCUCAUCAAGGCCGGGGCCCUCGUGGAUCCGAAGGACGCAGAGGGCUCCACCUGUUUGCACCUGGCUGCCAAGAAAGGUCACUAUGAUGUGGUUCAGUACCUGCUGUCCAAUGGGCAGAUGGACGUCAACUGUCAGGAUGAUGGCGGCUGGACGCCCAUGAUUUGGGCCACUGAGUAUAAGCACGUGGACCUUGUGAAACUGCUGCUGUCCAAGGGGUCUGACAUCAACAUCCGGGACAACGAGGAGAACAUCUGCCUGCACUGGGCGGCCUUCUCGGGCUGUGUGGACAUCGCUGAGAUCCUGCUGGCCGCCAGGUGCGACCUCCACGCCGUGAACAUCCAUGGAGACUCGCCCCUGCACAUCGCCGCCAGGGAGGACCGCUACGCCUGUGUCGUCCUCUUCCUGUCCCGGGACUCCGACGUCACACUGAAGAAUAAGGAGGGGGAGACGCCCCUGCAGUGCGCCAGUCUCAACUCGCAGGUGUGGAGCGCCCUGCAGAUGAGCCAGGCGCUGCGCGAUGCAGCCCCUGACAGGCCCGCCCUGGUGGAGAAGACGGUGAGCAGAGACAUCGCUCGGGGCUAUGAGCGAAUCCCCAUACCGUGUGUCAACGGUGUGGACAGCGAGCCGUGCCCCAGCAACUAUAAGUACGUGUCUCAGAACUGUGUGACGUCCCCCAUGAACAUCGACAGGAACAUUACCCACCUGCAGUACUGCGUGUGCAUCGACGACUGCUCCUCCAGCAACUGCAUGUGCGGCCAGCUGAGCAUGCGCUGCUGGUACGACAAGGAUGGCCGGCUCCUGCCCGAGUUCAACAUGGCGGAGCCGCCCCUGCUCUUCGAGUGCAACCACGCUUGCUCCUGCUGGAGGACCUGCCGGAACCGCGUCGUGCAAAACGGCCUCAGGACGAGGCUGCAGCUCUAUCGGACGCAGAACAUGGGCUGGGGCGUGCGGUCCCUGCAGGACAUCCCACUGGGCACCUUUGUUUGCGAGUAUGUCGGGGAGCUCAUCUCUGACUCGGAAGCUGACGUGCGUGAGGAAGAUUCUUACCUCUUUGACCUUGACAACAAGGUAAUGCGUCCUGAGGGGUUGGGCGUAGAGCUGAUGGGACUGUGCCACGUGGAGGGGCCUGCUGGCGGGGCCCGGGCUGGUAAGGAGGCUCGCCCGCCAGACUGGCGCUGGGUCCCUGAUCCCAGAGGUCCUGAGCUUGCCCAGCGAGCCUCGCGUGAGAGUGUGGGACCUCGGACAUGUCCCUCCAGCCUCUGAGCCCCACCUUCCUUCUCAGCAAGGGUGAGGGCCGCCAAGAGGCUCGGGGGCCAUGUGCACGGGGGUCGAGCCUUCGAGUGGAGUGAGGGUCACACUUGUGAACAGGGUGGGUGCGUCUCUCUGUGACCCCGGUGCCCUCCCAGGUGUGGGUAGAAGAGCUGGACCCUGGCUUCAUCCGCUCCGGGCCCUGGUUCCCAGGGCAGUUUCUGAGCCAUCGCAGGCUGCCCUGUCCUGCCUUGUCCUGGCUCCCAGGGUUGCUCCUUAAUUCAAAAAUUGCUGACUUCAGACCUUCUAAGAACUCGCCGUCGCUGCCAGUGGGAGGGAGUUCAGGUGGAGGCGGGGAAACAAGUACUCUGUUCCCCGCAGCAGCUGCGAGACCCCUGAACAGCCACCUGUAGGUCGGGUGAAGCCAGGCGCUCCCCUUCCCGUGCCUGCCACUCUUGGCUGUGUCUUCAGAGCGCCCUGCUCAUCGCCUGACCCCGCGCUGCCCCUGCAGCCACACCCUAAGGGGUCAGCAUUUGUGAGACAAGUGUCUGGAAGGCCUGUGUUCCUGGAGGUUGCAGCCUGGGGCGCGGCUCUAGCCCAGGGCCGUGGGGCCAGGCCUUCCCCAUGGCACCGCGGCCAUCUGCCCGGCCUGUGCGCGCGUGCGCGUGUGUGUGUGUGUGGGGGGGCACUGCAGCCGGGCCGGGUUUCCUGCCCACCUGUGUCUGCUGAGCAGUUUGCCUCUUACUGGUUUGCAGCAGUUCUUUCCAUGUUCUGGAUCAGUGCUCUUUCCUGACGUUUGACUUGCAGAUAUCUUCCCUCUGUGGCUUGUUUACUUCCUGACGAUGUCUUUUAAUGAACAGAAGUUCUUAUUUUUAUUAUCCUCCAACUUUGCAGUCUUUUUAUGUAUACAGGUGGGUUUCUAUAAUGUCCAAGACAAGUUUUUCCAAAACCCAGCUCACAAAGAUACACAUUUAUAUUGUUUCCCAGAAGGUGCUGAAGGGGGUCAAGCUUUAUUUUUUUCCCUGUAUUGACAUCUGUGUGACUGAGCACCAUUUGUUGAAAAGAUUGUCCUUUCCCCACCCCUCAGCAGUGCAGAUUUUGUCAUAUAUCAGGUGUCUGCGAGACCUUGGAUUGGCCUCUGUCUGCCGACUGCCUUGGGCAGCCUGUACUGUAUUAGUUAUCCUAGUUUACCUCCCCUUACCUUGGGGUUCUUGGGAGUGUCUGCUCUUCUUGGUCUCUCAAAGUUUCCAUAUAAGUUUUAAAAUCAGCUUGACAAGUUCCACAAAACUCCUGUAGGGAUUUGAUUGCAUAGCAUUGAACCUGUGAGCCAGAUUAGAUCAUGGCAUCAAACCUGUAAACCUCAUUAGGGAUCAUAGUAUUGACCCGUGAACCAGGUUAGGAUCAGAGCAAUGACCUGUGAACCAGGUUAGGGUCAGAGCAUUGACCCAUGAAUAAGGAUAAGGAUAGGGUCAGAGCACUGACCUGUGAACCCAGUUAGGGUCAGAGCAUUGACAGGUGAACCAGGAUAGGGUCAGAGCAUUGAACCUGUGAACCCAGUUAGGGUCAGAGCAUUGACAGGUGAACCAGGAUAGGGUCAGAGCAUUGAACCUGUGAACCCAGUUAGGGUCAGAGCAUUGACAGAUGAACCAGGAUAGGGUCAGAGCAUUGACCUGUGAACCCGUUAGGGUCAGAGCAUUGACCUGUGAACCAGUUAGGGUCAGAGCACUGACCUGUAAACCAGGAUAGGGGCAGAGCUUUGAACCUGUGAAUCCAGUUAGGGUCACACCAUUGACCUGUGAACCAGUUAGGCUCAGAGCACUGACCUGUGAAUCCGGUUAGGGUCAUAGCGUUGACCUGUGAUGGUUCGCUGGGCCAUCUGCUCCUUCCCGUUGGGAGUGGUGACCCAGAUAGCCGUGCGGGGCUGUGUGCUGGCCUGCGGGUGGACCCGCUGGUUCUGGGUUUUAUGGCCAGGAGUGCACCUGCGGUGGAUUUUCAGACUUGACUUCUGUGGAUGUGAGUCUUUGUUUCUCUCGGUAAAUUCUUGGGGGUGGAAUUACUGCCGUCUGGUGAGUGUUCACUUACUGACUUUAGAAGAAACGGCAAACAGUUUCCGGAGGGCUUGUUCCCCCCACACUCGCCAGCAGGAAAGGGCAGCUCAGACACUAAUUUUGAUGCCCCGUGAUGGCAGCAUCUUUUUUUUUAAAUAAUUUUUAUUGGAGUAUAGUUGCUUUACCAUGUUGUGUUUCUGCUGUACAGCAAAGUGAAUCAGCUAUACAUAUACAUAUAUCCCCUUUUUUUUGGAUUUCCUUCCCAUUUAGGUCACCACAGAGCACUGAGUAGAGCUCCCUGUGCUAUACAGUAGGUUCUCAUUAGUUAUCUGUUUUAUACACAGUAGUGUAUAUAUGUCAAUCCCAAUCUCCCAGUUCAUCCCACCCUCCCUUCCCCCCCUUGGGGUCCAUAUGAUUGUUCUCUACAUCUGUGUCUCUAUUUCUGCUUUGCAAAUAAGUUCAUCUGUACCAUUUUUCUAGAUUCCACAUAUAAGCAGUAUUAUAUGAUAUGUUUUUCUGACUUACUUCACUCUGUGUGAGUCUUUGGGUCCACCCACAUCUCUGCAAAUGACACUAUUUCGUUCCUUUUUAUGGCUGAGUAAUAUUCCACUGUAUGCACCACAUCUUCAUUAUAUGGCAGUGUCUUUUCACAGCUUAGUGGCUUCCUUACAUCUUCGUUCGUGGAGAAGUUUUAAAAAUUUAUUGUGGGUUGUUCCGUCGGGCCGCUUGUCGUAAGAGCUCUUCACAAGCCCUGAAUGGUACCCUUUGUCCAAUGUGUGUUGUGAGUAUUUCCCUCCUGCCUUUCCUUCCUCUUCACAGAACAGAAAACGUUUUUAAUGGUUUAGUGCUUUAUGUGUCCUAAGAAAUCUUUGCUGCAAGGUUGUGAAGAUUUUCUCUUUUCUCUAGAAUUUUUGUAUUUUAGCAAAAUUACAUUUAGAUCUAUGAUCUGUUCCAAGAACUUCUGUAUAUGGUUUGUUUUUUUCGCUUAACAUAUUUUUUUUUGGUGAGAUCACUUAAGUUCUAUUCUCUUAGCAGAUUUCGGCUGUACAAAACAGUGUCAUCAACUGUAGUCACCAUGUUAUACAUUUGAUCCUCAGGCCUUUUUCAUUUUAUAAAUUUACUGUCUCCCUGUUUGCCCCACUCCUCACCCCCUGGCAACCCCUAUUCUACUCGGUUUCCAUGAAAGUUUGCCUUAAAAAAAAAAAGUAAGAGGCCACAUAAAGUGACACCAUGCCGUCUUUGUCAUUUGCUGGCUUAUCUCAGAUGAUGCCCUUGAGGUUCAUCCAUAUUGUCCCAAAUGGCAGGAUUGCCUUUUUUUUUUUAAGGCUGAAUAGUAUUCCACUGUAUGUGUGUGCCACAUUUUCUUAUCCAUUAAUGGACACUUGGUUAUUUCCAUAUCUUGGCUGCUGUGAAUAAUGCUGCAGUGGACAUGGGGGAGCAGAUAUCUCUUCAAGGUUGUGGUUUUGUUUCCUUCGUAAAUGUCCUGGAGUGGGAUCGCUGGAUCACACGGUAGUUCUGUUUUCACCUUCUUGAGGAAGCUUCAUCCACACUGUUGUCCACAGUGGCUGCACCGAUUUACCUCCCCCCCGCAGUGCACCGAGGGCUCCCUUUUCUCCACACCCUCGCCAGUGCUUCUUGUCUUUUUGAUGACGUCAUUCUGACAGGUGUGAGGUGAUUAAUCAUUGUGGUUUUGAUGUGCAUCUCUCUGAUGAUUAGUGAUGUGGAGCAUCUUUUCAUGUACCUGUUGGCCAUCUGUGUGUCUUCUUUGGAAAGAUGAUUAUUCAGUUCCUCUGCCCAUUUUUUAAAUUGGCUUUUUUUUUUUUUGCUACUGAGUUGUGUGAGUUCUUUAUAUAUUUUGGAUAAUAACCCCUUAUCAGACACAUGGUUUGCAAAUAUUUUCUCCCAUUCGGUAGCUGCCUCUUUCUUUCUUUUUUGCCGCACGUCUCGGCUUACAGGAUCUUAGUUCCCCGACCAGGGAGUGAACCUGGGCCUAUGGCAGUGAAAGCGCUGAGUCCUAACCCGUGGACCACCAGGGAACACCUGGUACCUGCUUUUUCAUUUUGUUGAUGGUUUCCUUUGCUGUGCAGAAGCUUUUUAGUUCAGUGUAGUCCACUUGUUUACUUUUGCUUUUGUUGUCUUUGCUUUUGGUGUCAAAUCCAAAAAAUCAUUCAAGACCAAUAUCAAAGGGCUUCCCACCUCUGUUUUCUUCUAGAAGUCUCACGGUUUCAGGUCUCACGUUUUGCAUUGAUUUUUGUUUUUGGUGUAAGAUAGGGGUUGAGGUUCCCUUUUGUCCAUGUGAAUGUAAAGUCUCUACUUGCACUAUUGAAAGUAGGUCUGUCUGGACUAUGUUUUUUUCCUUUGAUUUAUUUGCCAGUCCGUAACCUACAUCACUCUGUCCUGAUCACAGGCACACCUCGGAGAUGCUGCGGGUUCAGUUCCAGACCAGCAACAUAGUGAAUAUUACAGUAGAGCGUAUUACAGUACACACUUUUUUUUUUUUUUUGGUCCCAGUGCAUCUAAAAGUCAUGUUUAUACUAUAGGCUGUUAAGUGUACAAUAGCAUUAUCUUAUAAAAAUAAUGUAUAUACCUUAAUCAAAAGAUGCUUUAUUGCUAAAAAAUGCUAACCAUCAUCUGAGCCUUCAGCGGGUCAUAGUAGUAACAUCAAAGGUCACUGACCACAGAUACCGUAACAAAUACAGUAGUACUGAAAACGUUUAAAAUACUACGAGAAUUACCAGAAUGUGACGGAGACAGGAAGUAAGCAGAUAUUGUUGGAAGAAUGGAGCCCGCAGACGCACUGGAUGCGGUGUCUGCAAAGUUCAGCAAACCAAGGUGCGCCCGUACGGCUGUGAGACUAAACCCUGAAACCAGGUCGCGUUGUGCUCAGACCCUGUUUCCUCCAAAAGCCGUUUCACCUUUUCUGUGUCCUUUGCAUUUCCCUGUAGAUUCUGGAAUCAGGGCAUCAGUACAGGAAGCCGCGGCCGGAGCCCUGUUGGGGUUGCCUCCCGUUUGUUGCUGAGUUUAGGGCGUCGGCAUCUGCACAGCGUUAGGUCUCCUGGUCCCUGGUGUUGCGUCCAGGUGUCCGCAGAGCUUGCGGGCUCUCAGGGUGUAGAUCUUACACAUGUUCCCUUAAGUUUAUUCCCAAGUAUUCCAUGCUCUUAUGCUUUCGUAAACAGUGUUGCUGUUUACUUCGUUGUCUGAUUGUUGCUAGGAUAUGGAAAUACUUGGUUUUUUGUAUAUCGACCUUGCUAAAUCCACUUGUUAAUUCCAGUAGCUUUUUUGACGAUUCUCUAGGAUUUUCUGUAUGCAUAACUGUGUCAUGUGUGAGUAAAGACAGCUCUACUUCUUCCUUGCCCUUCUAAGUCUGUGCUGAGAGCCUGGCUGGGGUCUCAGCAGUGGGAGGGGACAUCCUUGCCUGUCUCUGUCAAGGGAAAAGCAUUCAUUCUUUGAACACUAAGUGUGAUGUGAGCUGUGAGCUUUUUGUAGAUGCCCUCGUAGAAGUGUUCUGGUGCUGACUUGUUUACUGAGGCCUAAUUUAUAUGCAGGAAAUUCACCCAUUUAUGUGUCCAGCUCUGUUGGUUUUGACAGGCGUCUCCUUGUUCCUGCCCCAUCAGUGAUCUCAGGGUCCUCUGCUCAGGGUCACCCAGGCCGUCCAGGCGUGGUCCGGCUGCGUCUUUUCUGGACCUUGGACCUCGGAGUCCUCGGGCUCACAUGCUGGUUGUCAGAACGCAAGUUCUUGGCUGCAGGACUGAGGUCCAGCCGGGGCUCUGUCUGCUCCCAGGGGCCCCAAGCACACAGCCCCCUUCUUGAAGGCCAGCAGGAGAACCAUGCACGGUGUGAUGUGAUCGCGGGAGUGGCUUUCGUGAGAAGCGAGUCACAGGUUGCCCAGGGGGUGGGGUUCUGUGAGCGAGCGAGGCUGGGGUGAGCACCACUGCACCGAGAUUUGCAGACCAGCUCUCGGGGACACCCGGCCCCUCUGUCCCUGCCGUUUGCCGUUUCCAGAAUGUCGUACGGGUGGAUUCCCACGGCACAUGGCCUCUGGGUCUGGCCCUCUCCCUGGUGGAGGGAACCUCUGGGGGCUCGUCUGCGGUGUCACGUGUUUGUGUUGGUUGGGUCAUCACUGCUCCGUCGUGUGGAUACCCCUCAGGCUGCUCCUCCAUCCACCGCAGACGCGCUUGGGCUGUUGCCAGGUGUUGGCGGUUAGCGCAGCUUUUGAGAGCAUUCAUGUCAGGCUUUGGGUGGAUGUGUCCUCAUCCCCUGGGGCCGCGUGGUGGUGACUGGCAGCUUCAUGGGAGGCUCGGCCAUGUCCCUGGCACACGUGUCCCAAGCAUCUGGAGAGUCCUGGCAGGAGGGCAGGUCCAGUGCUGGCUGCUCCUUUGUGGUGGGGAGCAGGGUCCUGGUGUUGGACCAUUUCAGUGCUCUUGUAAAUGGCAUUUUUUCCCCUGAUUUAGUUGCUUGAUACAUAGAAAUAGUUACUUUUUUCCAACUAACUUUUUUUUUUUUUUUUUGCUGUACGCGGGCCUCUCACUGUUGUGGCCUCUCCCAUUGCGGAGCACAGGCUCUGGACACGCAGGCUCAGCGGCCAUGGCUCACGGGCCCAGCCACUCCGCAGCAUGUGGGAUCUUCCCGGACCGGGGCACGAACCUGUGUCCCCUGCAUCGGCAGGCGGACUCUCAACCACUGCACCACCAGAGAAGCCCCCAACUAACUUUUAACUCUGUGACCUGUUAAACUCACUGACUAGAUGUAGCAUUUAUUUGUGAGUUCUCUUCUCAGUGGACACGAUCGUGUCAUCAGCACACGGUCCCCUCCCGGCCGGGCCGCUGUGCCUGCCUUGGUGGAGAAAAGCUUCCAGAACCCAGGCUCCCACGGGCGCUGGUGCUCAGAGCUCUGUCCCUAGUCCACCAAGAGUGACCUGGAUUGACGUUAGGCUGUGUUCAGUGUUUUUCUGCAUCUGCUGAAAUGCCCCUACAAUCUCUCUUGUACUUACUGUAGUAACAUGGUGGAUAAUCUGAUUUUAUGGGCCAUUGUUGGGCCAUCAUUACUGGUUUGUAAUCUCACGCCUGCUUCAGCACGGGGCGUUGUGCUGCCGGUGGUCGGCCUGCACUGGCCCAUAGGCUGGCCUGCAUGUGUCCCCAGAGCCUGCCCCCGACCAUCUGGCACCGCUAGCAUCUGUGCCUGUGGGUCUGUGUCUAGUGUCUGGGGGUUUCCUGCUUAUUUUCAUUCUGUUUGCCCAUUGCCCCUUGUUCCUGAUGAGUUUUUGUUUGGGUUCCAAGCUCUGUAUUUGCAAACCUGCCUGAAGAAAUGCAUUGAGGCUUCAGAGCCCUCAUCUGGAAUCACUCGGUCCAUUUGUGGGAACGAGGGUGGUUCGGGGCUGAGCUGCAGCCGCCAGCCUCUCCGAGUCUAGCCCAGCCUCCCCUGCAGUGACCCUCGCCCUGGGGUGCAGCCCUCAGGGUCCCACCUGUAGCAAGGAAGGUUCGCAGGGCCCUAGCCCCCCGGCCUCAUGCCCGCUGUGCAGCACAGCUAGGAACGCCAGCCGCUGAGCUCGACCCCCGUGGAGGAGCCUUCCCGGAGCGUCCGCUCCUUCACGAGGCGUUUUCUUUGUUGCUUUUUCUGAAAUGUUCUGUCAGGCUGUCUCGAGUCUCCGCAGACCAGGCAGCUUGCCUGACCACAGGUCGGCGCUCUGAUUCUCACCAACAUCCUUUGACAGAUGGGGCAUGUGCGGACGCUGUCCAGGGAGGGGCGGAGGGGGCGUUCCUGGGGGCCCCAAGGGGGCCCCACACAGGCCUCUCCAUGUUCGCCGCUUACCUGUCUGGGAGGAGCUUUCUGUCUCCAGACUGCUCUGGCUGGUGCUUCUGUAAAAACACUGCAGAUUCCAAGCCCAUUUCUUAAUUAUCAGAUUCUAAGACGUGGAGUUACCCUGUCUGAUUGCUGUGCUUGUUUCUCAGCUCCUCCCCUGAGCAGCUCCUGGACCCCUGCCAGCCCCUGGCCCCCAUAGGGACAUCUCUCCAAUGGCCACCCUCUCUCCUCCCGUUGCUGCGACCGCUGCCUUUGACCCCUGGCCUUUCCGUCUCUUCAGCCCCGCACACCGGGCUGUGCCCCUGGGAGGGUCCUGGCAACCCGAGUGCCGCUGACUCUGGGCCCUCAGCCCUGGCCCCCAGCUGUGUGGGUCUCCUGCUUGCUCUGGUCCACUCCUCCUGGGCCCGAGCAGGUAGCCCUCUUCAGUCUUACCCCAUGGGUCUUUCGUUCUGGGCACGUAAAAAGCCACGGAUGCAGCACGUCCCCCGGCCGUUCCAGCUCAGGCCUGUGUGUCCCCGAGUGUUGGCAUGUCAGAGUGCCCAUACCCACUGGGCCAUCUGCCCGUGCCUCGCUCCCCCACCCACCAUUUGAGGCAUCAGGAAACUUUCCGGUUCUGCCUUCCAGGUAUUUCCUGG